rnacentral:rRNA from 1 species
GGUGAGUAACACGUGGAUAACCUACCUAUAAGACUGGGAUAACUUCGGGAGACCGGAGCUAAUACCGGAUAAUAUUUUGAACCGCAUGGUUCAAAAGUGAAAGACGGUCUUGCUGUCACUUAUAGAUGGAUCCGCGCUGCAUUAGCUAGUUGGUAAGGUAACGGCUUACCAAGGCAACGAUGCAUAGCCGACCUGAGAGGGUGAUCGGCCACACUGGAACUGAGACACGGUCCAG